rnacentral:rRNA from 1 species
GAUGAACGCUGGCGGCGUGCCUAAUACAUGCAAGUCGAGCGAACAGACGAGGAGCUUGCUCCUCUGACGUUAGCGGCGGACGGGUGAGUAACACGUGGAUAACCUACCUAUAAGACUGGGAUAACUUCGGGAAACCGGAGCUAAUACCGGAUAAUAUAUUGAACCGCAUGGUUCAAUAGUGAAAGACGGUUUUGCUGUCACUUAUAGAUGGAUCCGCGCCGCAUUAGCUAGUUGGUAAGGUAACGGCUUACCAAGGCAACGAUGCGUAGCCGACCUGAGAGGGUGGUCGGCCACGUGGGAACUGAGCCACGGCCCAGCCCCCUACGGGAGGCAGCAGUGGGAAUUCUUCCGCAAUGGGCGAAAUCUUGACGGAGCAACCCCGCGGGAGUGAUGAAGUUUUUCGGUUCGUAAAACUCUUUUUUUAGGAAAAAAAAAAUGUGUAAGUAACUUUCCCCGUCUUGACGGUACCUAAUCAGAAAGCCCCGGCUAACUACGU